AACUCAUGGUGAAGGCACCUUCUCAAUAAAUCCUUAUACCUCUCCAUGCAUCAUAUAAAGUUUCUAAGUCCAUUUGCACAAAGAAAGAGAUAUCAUUGCUCAACUU
rnacentral:snoRNA from 1 species